GACGAACGCUGGCGGCGUGCUUAACACAUGCAAGUCGAACGAUGAAACCUAGCUUGCUAGGUCGAUUAGUGGCGAACGGGUGAGUAACACGUGACUAACCUGCCCCUUUCUCUGGGAUAACGCUCCGAAAGGAGUGCUAAUACCGGAUACUCACACCGAGGCACAUGCCUUGGUGUGGAAAGUUUUUCGGAAAGGGAUGGAGUCGCGGCCUAUCAGCUUGUUGGUGAGGUAACGGCUCACCAAGGCGACGACGGGUAGCCGGCCUGAGAGGGCGACCGGCCACACUGGGACUGAGACACGGCCCAGACUCCUACGGGAGGCAGCAGUGGGGAAUAUUGCACAAUGGGCGCAAGCCUGAUGCAGCGACGCCGCGUGAGGGAUGAAGGUCUUCGGAUUGUAAACCUCUUUCAGUAGGGACGAAGCGAGAGUGACGGUACCUAAAGAAGAAGCACCGGCUAACUACGUGCCAGCCGCCGCGGUAA
rnacentral:rRNA from 1 species